UUCCUAAUCCUCUUAGUGGCAUUUUCUUUGGAGGAGCACAGGCUCAGCAAAGCACACACCACACUCUAAGCAAUCAGGUAAGCUGUUGACACUACACCUUACAUUGCU